rnacentral:rRNA from 1 species
AACGGGAAGAACCUUACCACCCCUUGACAUACUCGGAACUUGGCAGAGAUGCCUUGGUGCCUUCGGGAGCCGAGAUACAGGUGCUGCAUGGCUGUCGUCAGCUCGUGUCGUGAGAUGUUGGGUUAAGUCCCGUAACGAGCGCAACCCUUAUCCUUAUUUGCCAGCGGGUCAUGCCGGGAACUCUAAGGAGACUGCCGGUGACAAACCGGAGGAAGGCGGGGACGAGGUCGAGUCAUCAUGGCCCUUAUGGCCAGGGCUACACACGUGCUACAAUGGACGGUACAGAGGGUUGCCAACCCGCGAGGGGGAGCCAAUCCCUUAAAGCCGUUCGUAGUCCGGAUCGGAGUCUGCAACUCGACUCCGUGAAGUAGGAAUCGCUAGUAAUCGCGGAUCAGCAUUGCCGCGGUGAAUACGUUCCCGGGUCUUGUACACACGC